rnacentral:rRNA from 1 species
CCCUUAGAUGUUCUGGGCCGCACGCGUGCUACACUGAGUGGAUCAGCGGGUCAGGUUGCGCGAAAGCGUUUCCUAAUCUUUAAAUCCGCUCGUGAUGGGGAUUGACGGUUGCAAUUUUCUGUCAUGAACGAGGAAUACCUUGUAAGCGCGGGUCAUCAUCCCGCGCUGAAUACGUCCCUGCCCUUUGUACACACCGCCCGUCGCUCCUACCGAUUGAGUGGUCCGGUGAGGCUUUGGGAUCUGAGCGGAAAGAGCGUUUCGCUGUUUCUGCUCGGAAAACUCAGUCGAACCUUAUCAUUUAGAGGAAGGGGAAGUCGUAACA